rnacentral:rRNA from 1 species
GACGAACGCUGGCGGCGUGCUUAACACAUGCAAGUCGAACGGAAAGGCCCCUUUGGGGGUACUCGAGUGGCGAACGGGUGAGUAACACGUGAGUAACCUGCCCUUGACUUCGGGAUAACUUCAGGAAACUGGGGCUAAUACCGGAUAGGAAUCCUAGCUGCAUGGUGGGGGUUGGAAAGCUUCGGCGGUUUUGGAUGGACUCGCGGCUUAUCAGCUUGUUGGUGGGGUAGUGGCUUACCAAGGCUUUGACGGGUAGCCGGCCUGAGAGGGCGACCGGCCACAUUGGGACUGAGAUGCGGCCCAGACUCCUACGGGAGGCAGCAGUGGGGAAUAUUGCACAAGGGGCGGAAGCCUGAUGCAGCAACGCCGCGUGCGGGAUGACGGCCUUCGGGUUGUAAACCGCUUUCAGCAGGGGCGAAGCUUGUGGUGACGGUACCUGCAGAAGAAGCACCGGCUAACUACGUG